rnacentral:rRNA from 1 species
GUAGUCCACGCCGUAAACGAUGAGUGCUAAGUGUUAGGGGGUUUCCGCCCCUUAGUGCUGCAGCUAACGCAUUAAGCACUCCGCCUGGGGAGUACGGUCGCAAGACUGAAACUCAAAGGAAUUGACGGGGGCCCGCACAAGCGGUGGAGCAUGUGGUUUAAUUCGAAGCAACGCGAAGAACCUUACCAGGUCUUGACAUCCCGCCGACCGCCUAGGGGACUAGGCCUUCCCUUCGGGGACGGCGGUGACAGGUGGUGCAUGGUUGUCGUCAGCUCGUGUCGUGAGAUGUUGGGUUAAGUCCCGCAACGAGCGCAACCCUUGAUCUUAGUUGCCAGCAUUCAGUUGGGCACUCUAAGGUGACUGCCGGUGACAAACCGGAGGAAGGUGGGGAUGACGUCAAAUCAUCAUGCCCCUUAUGACCUGGGCUACACACGUGCUACAAUGGAUGGUACAAAGGGCUGCGAACCCGCGAGGGGGAGCCAAUCCCAUAAAACCAUUCUCAGUUCGGAUUGUAGGCUGCAACUCGCCUACAUGAAGCUGGAAUCGCUAGUAAUCGUGGAUCAGCAUGCCACGGUGAAUACGUUCCCGGGCCUUGUACACACCGCCCGUCACACCACGAGAGUUUGUAACACCCGAAGUCGGUGGGGUAACCUUUAUGGGGCCAGCCGCCGAAGGUGGGACAGAUGAUUGGGGUG